GAAAUGCGAUAAGUAAUGUGAAUUGCAGAAUUCAGUGAAUCAUCGAAUCUUUGAACGCACAUUGCGCCCGCCAGUAUUCUGGCGGGCAUGCCUGUUCGAGCGUCAUUUCAACCAUCAAGCCCCCCGGCUUGUGUUGGGGACCUGCGGCUGCCGCAGGCCCUGAAAAGCAGUGGCGGGCUCGCUGUCACACCGAGCGUAGUAGCAUACAUCUCGCUCUGGGCGUGCUGCGGGUUCCGGCCGUUAAACCACCUUCAUAACCCAAGGUUGACCUCGGAUCAGGUAGGAAGACCCGCUGAACUUAAGC
rnacentral:misc_RNA from 1 species